rnacentral:rRNA from 1 species
CCCUUAGACGUUCUGGGCCGCACGCGCGCUACACUGACGAAGGCAACGAGCUUUCCGUUACCGAAAGGUACGGGUAAUCUUUUGAAACUUCGUCGUGCUGGGGAUAGAUCCUUGCAAUUUUUGAUCUUAAACGAGGAAUGCCUAGUAAGCGCAAGUCAUCAACUUGCGUUGAUUACGUCCCUGCCCUUUGUACACACCGCCCGUCGCUACUACCGAUUGAAUGGUUUAGUGAGGCCUUCGGAUCCGCGACUCGUUUGUGGAGAAGUUGGACAAACUCAGUCAUUUAGAGGAAGUAAAAGUCGUAACA